ACUAGAUGAAUGUGGUAGAUGC
rnacentral:siRNA from 1 species